AGAGUUUGAUCCUGGCUCAGGAUGAACGCUGACAGAAUGCUUAACACAUGCAAGUCAACUUGAAUUUGGGUUUUUAACUUAGAUUUGGGUGGCGGACGGGUGAGUAACGCGUAAAGAACUUGCCUCACAGCUAGGGACAACAUUUAGAAAUGAAUGCUAAUACCUGAUAUUAUGAUUUUAAGGCAUCUUAGAAUUAUGAAAGCUAUAAGCACUGUGAGAGAGCUUUGCGUCCCAUUAGCUAGUUGGAGAGGUAACAGCUCACCAAGGCGAUGAUGGGUAGCCGGCCUAAGAGGGUGAACGGCCACAAGGGGACUGAGACACGGCCCUUACUCCUACGGGAGGCAGCAGUGGGGAAUAUUGGACAAUGGACCGAGAGUCUGAUCCAGCAAUUCUGUGUGCACGAUGAAGUUUUUCGGAAUGUAAAGUGCUUUCAGUUGGGAAGAAAAAAAUGACGGUACCAACAGAAGAAGUGACGGCUAAAUACGUGCCAGCAGCCGCGGUAAUACGUAUGUCACGAGCGUUAUCCGGAUUUAUUGGGCGUAAAGCGCGUCUAGGUGGUUAUGUAAGUCUGAUGUGAAAAUGCAGGGCUCAACUCUGUAUUGCGUUGGAAACUGUAUAACUAGAGUACUGGAGAGGUAAGCGGAACUACAAGUGUAGAGGUGAAAUUCGUAGAUAUUUGUAGGAAUGCCGAUGGGGAAGCCAGCUUACUGGACAGAUACUGACGCUAAAGCGCGAAAGCGUGGGUAGCAAACAGGAUUAGAUACCCUGGUAGUCCACGCUGUAAACGAUGAUUACUAGGUGUUGGGGGUC
rnacentral:rRNA from 1 species